AAGCUCGUAGUUGAAUUUCGGAAUUUGUCGGUUGGUCGGGCUUCACUGUCCGCACUGGCCUGAUAGAUUCCUACCUUCUGAAUAACCAGCAUGCUAUUAAUUUAGUGCGUUGGGGAAGCAGAGCUAUUACCUUGAAAAAAUUAGAGUGCUUAAAGCAGGCUUAUGCUUGAAUAGAUUAGCAUGGAAUAAUAAAAUAGGACGGCUUGGUUCUAUUUUGUUGGUUUCUAGGAUCACCGUAAUGAUUAAUAGGGAUAGUUGGG
rnacentral:rRNA from 1 species